GCCGGUGUAGCUCAGCUGGUAGAGCAACUGAUUUGUAAUCAGUAGGUCGCGGGUUCAAGUCCCGCCGCCGGCCA
rnacentral:tRNA from 1 species